UACGUAGGGCGCAAGCGUUAUCCGGAAUUAUUGGGCGUAAAGAGCUCGUAGGCGGUGUGUCACGUCGGCCGUGAAAACCUGGGGCUUAACUCUGGGCGUGCGGUCGAUACGGGCAUCACUAGAGUUCGGCAGGGGAGACUGGAAUUCCUGGUGUAGCGGUGAAAUGCGCAGAUAUCAGGAGGAACACCGGUGGCGAAGGCGGGUCUCUGGGCCGAUAUUGACGCUGAGGAGCGAAAGCGUGGGGAGCAAACAGG
rnacentral:rRNA from 1 species